UAAUACAGAGGGCGCAAGCGUUAUUCGGAUUCACUGGGCAUAAAGAGCACGUAGGCGGCUACGUAAGUCGGAUGUGAAAUCCCGCGGCUCAACCGCGGAAUGGCAUCCGAUACUGCGUGGCUCGAGGUCGGAAGGGGUAAGCGGAACUCCAGGUGGAACGGUGAAAUGUGUAGAUAUCUGGAGGAACACCGGUGGCGAAGGCGGCUUACUGGUCCGAAUCUGACGCUGAGGUGCGAAAGCUAGGGGAGCGAACGGGAUUAGAUACCCCGGUAGUCCUAGCCGUAAACGAUGGGCACUAGGCAAUGGAUCAUCCCUAUGGGGUUCAUUGCCGUAGCAAAUGUGUUAAGUGCCCCGCCUGGGGAGUACGCUCGCAAGGGUA
rnacentral:rRNA from 1 species